rnacentral:rRNA from 1 species
GACGAACGCUGGCGGCGUGCUUAACACAUGCAAGUCGAACGGAAAGGCCCUGCUUUUGUGGGGUGCUCGAGUGGCGAACGGGUGAGUAACACGUGAGUAACCUGCCCUUGACUUUGGGAUAACUUCAGGAAACUGGGGCUAAUACCGGAUAGGAGCUCCUGCUGCAUGGUGGGGGUUGGAAAGUUUCGGCGGUUGGGGAUGGACUCGCGGCUUAUCAGCUUGUUGGUGGGGUAGUGGCUUACCAAGGCUUUGACGGGUAGCCGGCCUGAGAGGGUGACCGGCCACAUUGGGACUGAGAUACGGCACAGCCUCCUACGGGAGGCAGCAGUGGGGAAUAGUGCACAAUGGGCGGAAGCCUGAUGCAGCAACGCCGCGUGCGGGAUGACGGCCUUCGGGUUGUAAACCGCUUUCGCCUGUGACGAAGCGUGAGUGACGGUAAUGGGUAAAGAAGCACCGGCUAACUACGUG